GAACGUUAAUUUGGUAGUAUCGUUUUGCAACAUCCUUCCAUUUCAUACCAAGCCAGCUAUUGAUAAUGAAAAUGUGUUCGAUUGAAAUAUGAUGUUUUUAUUUAAUUAUUCUUCUGCAGGUAAAAGAACAAUUUACAUGUUUUUCCUUUGUUUUAUUUUUUGUUAUUUAAAUUUACUAUGGUGGUUACUAAACUUUUCGUGGCAUUUCAUGUUGAACUCUGUUACGUAAGGCUUCUCUAUACCUAUGUAUUAACAAGAAAUAGUUGUUCCUGUUGCUAGGUUCUGUUGUGUUGUGUGCUGGGUGCUUUUGGUACUUGUGAAGGCAAAAUAUGUAUUGGAAAUUUGAAAACUACAUGUAAUUUUUUUAAAUAGGCUUGUAUAACUGUACAAUUUGCGUUCUUUUCAUUCCAGUGCUUUCAUCUGCAGGUUUGUGUUAGACUAGGCUUUUCCUGUCACAGAUUUUGGAAAUGUGAUACUGGCUGAGGUGUGCUGGGAUGUCUUGGUUGGUGCAAUCAGCUCACGCAUAUUUAGAGGUUCGAAUUAUGGCUGACGUGUUAAUAGCCGAUGACUUGCGGAUUUUAUAAGAGAUUUGGAUCUUUGCCGAAUUUGGAUCCCAUAAAUUGUGGUUUUUAAAAUGCAGGAUUGUGGCAAAAUGUUUCUAUUGGAUGUUCAUUAGCUGGGAGUUCUAGUGCCGAACCCAUUUACCGGGGGUUAAAUCGAGUUUACAUUAUAAAUGAUAGAUGACAUUCCUUGUCGAAAACAUGUGUGGUGAGAAAGGAAAAUGUUUGUUGACUGGUGAUAGAAAAAUUUACGGUACUACGAGGCUCGUCCUGAGAUUUUGCGAUGCAUCGAAGUUUUUCCAAUACUUAAGUUAUCUCACUUGUUAAAAUGGAUUUCAGAUAAUGUUCGGAUGAUUUUGUAAUCUGUGACCCUGUUUCCGUUGUCUUGUGAUAUGUAUGUGACGGCAUAGAUGUUGUAUAUUCCGGGAAAGGGAUGCGGAAGGAAAGUCCUAUGGUUUCAUCGAGUUGUAUUGUAUAUCGACUAGUGUUGAUUGCUUGACAAGCGCUUUGUCGUUUUGCUUACCUUCCGGCAUUUAUUCAUGUUUCCCUGGCUAAUGUGCAAAUCCCUAUAAAAUCAUACAUGAAAUGUGACGAAAUAUUACAUGUAUAGGUCUAUAUAUACAAUAAAAUAAAUAUCGAAAAAUAUGCAUUUAAA